UCCCAGAGUGUAUGUGAUAUUUAUUGGC
rnacentral:piRNA from 1 species